rnacentral:lncRNA from 1 species
AUGCCAGAAUUAUUUCAUACCACAACACCCAAAACCCAUAUCAACUGCCAUCAUCAAACAGAGAAAAAGACCCUAAGAAACUUGGUGAGUGACAACAUAACAGAACAGAAAACAAAUUUCCUGAACACAGAAAAUGAAGUCUCCCUGAAGGAAGGCAAAAGACAAAAAAGAGAGACUAAAAUUGAAUAUUAGGUGGAGACUCUGUCAUCUUUAAAUGCCAUCAUGGACCUACUAACAAGCCGGAAUCACCUUUGAAUAAUUUAAGUUAUGCAUUUAUUUAAUGUGCUUUUUCCCCAGUCAUUCACUACAUGAUAAGAAAUUGACAUCCUACUAUGUGGUAGACUCUAUGCUUCCUAGUUUUCAAAACUUACAGAUAUUUUUUAAUGCUAGUAGUUUUCUCUAGAAAGGGAAUAGAUAUUUACAUAUUUAAGAAUUUUUAUAACCUGUUUCUCAGUUAAUUAGAUCAAAGAAAAGGGUCUAAGUUUUUUCACUUCUAGAAACUCAAAAUCAAAAGGUAAGAGACAUAAAUCAAAAAAUAUUUUUUAAUAUCUUAAAUGUCAACUAAAAAGCUUAAGACACAGGCUUCUGUGCUGGAUUUCAUGGCUAGUAAUUACCUUAUGAUGUAACAG